UACGUAGGUGGCAAGCGUUGUCCGGAUUUACUGGGCGUAAAGAGCGCGCAGGCGGUCAGAUAAGUCGAAUGUGAAAGCCCCCGGCUCAACUGGGGAGGGUCAUUCGAUACUGUUCGACUCGAAGGCAGGAGAGGGAAGUGGAAUUCCCGGUGUAGUGGUGAAAUGCGUAGAUAUCGGGAAGGAACACCAGUGGCGAAGGCGACUUCCUGGCCUGUUCUUGACGCUGAGGCGGCGAAAGCUAGGGGAGCAAACGGG
rnacentral:rRNA from 1 species